AUUGAACGCUGGCGGCAGGCAUAACACAUGCAAGUCGAACGAGUGGAGGACGUGUGAGAAAUUCUUGGGAAUCUCGCUUAUGGAGGGGGCUAACUACGGGAACCUGUAGCUUAUAGCGCGUACCAUAGGAUGAGCCCAAGUGGGAUUCGGUAGUUGGUUAGGUAAAGGCUCACCAAGCCGACGAACUCUAGCUGGUCUGAGAGGAUGACCAGCCACACGGGGACUAGGAUAGGGCCCAGCAUCGACCGGGAGGCUGCAGUGGGUAAUAGGGCGCAAUUGGGGCAACCUGACGCAGCCAUGCCGAGGGCAUGAAGAAGGCCUUCGGGUUGUAAAGGGCUUGCGGUAGCGAGACGUUAACAACAGAAGAAGCACCGGCUAACUCCGUGACAGCCGCCGCGGUAAUAC
rnacentral:rRNA from 1 species